CAAACUCUAAGACCUCUAGAUGCCUUGACCCCAGCCUCCUUCCAUUCCUUGUGAAGUUAACUCAAAUUCUUUAAUCGAUUUCGCUUGACAAUCCUCAUAAGGCUGCGGUUCUCUCGGUUGAUUGUGCAUCUUUUUCUUCCACACUUUUUCCUUCUGUAACCCCUAGGGGGCCAUGUCAAACCAAUCUAAAUUGUAUAUAGAUAUUCACAAGCAGGCUAUCCCAAUAAAGGGAAAUAAAAGGAGAGAGAGGGACUGGAGUAUUAUAAAAAUAGAAACAGUUUAUUUUAUUUUUCUCCAGUUAGACACACUUAAAAUAACAAACAUUAGGCCUCUGGUCAACAAAUUUAGGGACAACAAAGUGCAAAAUCAAAAUGUGUAUAACAAAAAUCAGCAAAACUCAAAUCAGCAAAUACAGAAUAAAUAAGGCACAUCACAAAUCAUAUGCACAAAACAAAAUAAAUUUACACUCAGCAAACCAGUGACCACACAACAAAAUUGUUAUUCCCCGUCCCAGGAUAUUGCACCAACCCAAUGGCCCAAGAUACAAACAUAAAACAUACAGCAACGCACACAGAUGAAGACUAAUGAGCAACACAGUGGGCCUUCCUCCCACACACACACACACACACACACACACAACUGAAUACUAAAAACAGGGCACAGGAAAAACAGUGGCCAAGAUGGCAUAUGACGGUCCCUCCUGUAUGGACACAGACCGCAGCGUCGAACCAAGAGCUUGUUUAGUUGUAAUACUGUAGCAAUCGCCUUAUUCCGUCUGGUUUUUACUCAUACAUUCCCAGGCCAAUCUAUAAUACAGACAUGACGAGUCAACACAAUUACACACAUAUAAACAAGCGCUCCGUAACACCGAUGUAAACACGUGAGGGAAAAAAAGGAAGCCAGUGAACUUACAUUCUCACAGAGAUGUAUAGUAACGAAGUAGAACUACUUCACUACUGUACUUAAGUACUAAAAGGCGGUAUCUGUACUUUACUAGAGUAUUAUUUUUUUCUCCUACUUCCACUUUUACUUCGGUACAUAUUUUCGCUGAGUUUAAUACUUUUACUCCGAUAUUUUUUUUAUGUGCUGCAUCGUUACUCGUUACAAUUAUAAUAAUGUUACGAAUCAUUCCAUUACAAACCACUGCCAGAACUGUAGAUGGCAGGUUUGAUGAAGCUGGCACAUCAUUGAGCGAAUCAAGCGAUUAAGAAGACUGCGCGUGCUGACUGAACUGCUGUGAAGAGAGAAAUGAACACCGAGCCGAGCCAGAUAAUGACUCGUUCACGAGUCAAGAACAGGUUGCAUCGGUUUUCGGAUGACCAGUAACGUUAGUUCUUUCUGACAGUUCGAUUCAAUAAACCAGUUGAAGAAAACAGUUCACCGAUUCUUUUGCGCUCGAUGCAAUGGCGUCAUUGGCGUUGACUGCACAUGGGCUCAUAACAUUAACACAGAAUCAGUUCAGAAUCAAUCACCAAAAGAAUCAGUUCGGUUCCAGACGCUCUGUGUGUCGGUUUACUUCACGCUAAAUUACACAUGCGCAGUAUCAUCAGCUCCUCGGUUCACGAAUCGGACAGAAACGGUUCUUGACUCGUGAACGAGUCAUUAUCUGGCUCGGCUCGGUGUUCAUCUUCAGUUCUCUCUUCACAUCAGUUCAGUCAGUGUACUGUUUGAGUCAAUGAAUUACUCCGGGAUAUUGGUUUGUUUUAACUCAGAGGGAGUGUCAGACACAUUAAACAAGUUAACAGCUUAAUUCAUCUGUGGAUUAAUGCGUAUUAGAGACGAGAACUGUUUAAAACGAUUCAGUUCGAUUUGGUGGACUGUUUAAAAAAGAUCCGGUUACAUCGAAUGAUUCGUUCGCGAACCAGAUAUCACAAACUGCUUUGUUUUUAACUGUCUUACAACAGACAUGGAAGAGAAGACAAUGCUGAAUAAAGUCUAGUUUUUGCUAUUUUUGGACCAAAAUGUAUUUUCAAUGCUUCAAAAAAUUCUAAAUGACCCUCUGAUGUCUUAUGGGUUUGAAACAACAUGAGGGUAAGUUAUUAAUGACAUCAUUUUGCAAAUUGGGCUAACUAACCCUAGUAACCGUUUUUUGUUUACAAGAAGUUACAGUCAAAGGAAUUGUGAUUGUCCUUUAGGUUAAUCAUUUAAAAUAGUAAAAACAAUAUGUUCAAACUUUUGACUACUUUCUUUAAUAGCUACAUAACACGAUACUUCUACUUUUACUUUCAGUACUUGAGUAGUAAAUUUUAAAAUAGACUACUUGCAAUACUUAAGUACAAAAAAUGUUGAAUACUUUAGUACUUCUACUUAAGUGUGGUGCUUAAAGAGCACUUCUACUUCUACUCAAGUCACUUUUUUGAUAGAGCACUUGUACUUUUACUCAAGUAUGGUUCUCUAGUACUUUAUACAUCUCUGCAUUCUCAGCACAACAAACAGCACUCGGCAAACUUGUAGUGGUCAUACUCUAAAUCAGCGACUAAUAUAGACAGAACACGAAUCAAUGAAAGUUCAUUAUGACCAAUGCCUACAGAAAAAAACGGAACGCUGCUCAUAAGUAAAAGCAGAAAACUUACAUUUUCAUUGAAACACGCAGACACAAUCCGUAGCCGGUGAGGGCUCGUGAAGACGGAGCUAGAUGUAACCACCGCACUGAAUAACCCACAAACACCGAGUCGAGAUCAACUCGUACAACCAACCAAGAGUCCAAGGAACCAAGAAUCUAUAGUAACACUAAUCAGAGGAACCGCCAGCUUGCUACAUUUAAAGGUGCAACGCCAAACGCCCACCACCUGAUUCAAUCAAGGCGCAACUCCCGCUGCCUACGCCCUACCCGCUACACUUCCACUCAACUUUCUGUUAACACUCUUGGAUACAGCACUCUGUGAACAGCCAGCUUCUUUGGCAAUUAAUGUUUGUGGCUUACCCUCCUUGUGAAGGCUAUCAGUAACUGUUAGAUCAGCAGUCUUCCCAAGAUUGUGUAACCUAGUGAACCAAACUGAGAGACCAUAUUGAAGGCUCCAGAAACUUUGUCUGUUUCUCUCUUAUUCCGAGGUCACCG
ensembl:lncRNA